GAUGAAGAACGCAGUGAAAUGCGAUAAGUAGUGUGAAUUGCAGAAUUCCGUGAAUCAUCGAAUCUUUGAACGCACAUUGCGCCUUCUGGUAUUCCGGAAGGCAUGCCUGUUCAAGAGUCAUUAACAACCGUUUCGAUCCCUUUCUUUCAGAAAUUACAAAGAGGAAAAGGGUUUGGUUAUGGUGGAGGAGGGAAAGGGAGCGUUUAGCCUGUAAAAAAAGAGGCUGUGUUCCGCCUCCCCCCCAAAAUUGUACAGGCGGUCGUGUGCGCCCACGCAUCGAGGUGUUGUAAAAGCUGCCACGGCACUUUUCACCUGUGCAGUGCGAGAUUGGCCAGCCGGUUUAAAAACCCCUCCAAACAAUCAAAGGUUGACCUCGGAUCAGGUAGGGAUACCCGCUGAACUUAAGCAUAUCAAUAAGCGGAGGA
rnacentral:misc_RNA from 1 species